rnacentral:lncRNA from 1 species
CUGAUUCAAUAGGUAUUGGUUUGGACUCACUGCAGGAGUCGGGUUGGCUAUGAUUCUUUACUACUUUUUUGAGACUGGUAAGACCUAUAUUUUUGUUUUAUAAUCUUCUGUCUGCCCUUGUUUUUCUUUAUUGUCAUAGAUUAAUAUGGAAUAUUUUUUUACCUAAUUGACCCAAAAGCCUAUUGAUCAUUAUUUUACUCUGUCCUAAGCUCGGACUGAUCUGUGUAUUUAAUGGGGAAGAUGUAGGCAUCUAAAUUUCUCCUUUAAGUCCAGAUUUGUGAUUGUCUUUAUUUACCAUUCUUGUAAGCCUCUGAUCAUAACAGCCACAAUGGCACAAGUAUUACCCUCAUUUUCUUCCUUCCACAUGACACCUUUUCUCUCUACCCCUCUUCCUUCUGUCACUUCUUAUGUUUAUGGAAAGAAGUUAGGUGAAAUCGCCUUCUGCCCCUAAUGUGAGACUUAAGGCAGUAAUGGCUCUGGAUGGUGGAAUUGGAACCCUCUGCUUCUGCCAGUUGUGUGUGUGAUAGGAGCAGAUUACAGGACUCAAUUCUUCAGUUUCCUAUUUCCUCAUCUGUAAAUGAUGGUGUGGACUUUUACCUCUGUGGUCUCCUUCAGCCUUAAAAUUCCUCUUUUUUUUGUUAUCAUUUUUUCUUUUUAGUUGUAUACGACAGUAUAGUCUAUUUUUACAAACAUGGAGUAUAUAUUUUUCUAAUUAGAAUCCCAGACUUUUGGAUGUACAGGAUGUUGAGAUUCACUGUGGUGUAUUCAUAUAUGUACAUAGGAAAGUUAUGUCAGAUUCAUUCCACAGUUUUUCCUAUUCCUAUCUCCCCUUCCUUUCAUUCCCAGGUGUUUAAUCCAUUGAACUUCUACUCUUACUCUCUCCUCCCUUGUUGUGGGUUAGUUUAUACGUAUUAGGGAGACCAUGCUACCUUUGAUUUUGGGGGAUUGGCUUAUUUCACUUAGAUUGUCUUAUUUCACUUAGUCUCCAGAUCUUUCCAUUUACUGGCAAAUGUCAUAAAGUCAUUCUUAUUUAUGGCUGAGUAAUAUUCCAUUGUGCAUAUAUAUCACAUUGUCUUUAUCCAUUCAUUAGUGGAAGGGCACCAGCAAUGUUUCCCCCACAUGCUUGUCAACAUUUAUUGUUACUUGUAUUCUUGAUAAUUCCCAUUCUGACUGGAGUAAGGUGAAAUCUCAGUGUAGUUUUAAUUUGCAUUUCUCUACUUGCUAGAGAUGUUGAAUAUUUUUUUUUCAUUAAUUUGUUCACCAUUUGUAUAUCUUCUUUUUAGAAGUGUCUUUUUAGUUUCUUUGCCCAUUUGUUGAUUGGGUUUUUUUAUUGUUGUUGUUUUUGUUUUUUGGUGUUAAGCUUUUUGAGUUCUUUGUAUAUCAUAGAAAUUAACCCUUUAUCUGAGGUGCAGGUGGCAAAGAUUUUUUCCCAUUCUAUAGGCUCUCUCUUCACACUCUUGAUUGUUUCCUUUGCUGUGAAAAAGCUUUCUUGUUUGAUACCAUCCCAUUUAUUGAUAUUUAUUUUACUUCUAGAACUUUAGGGUCUUGUUGAGGAAGUUGAUUCCUAACCUGACAUGUUGGAGUGUUAGGCCUACAUUUUCUUCUAGUAGGUACAGAGUUUCUAAUCUAAUAUCUAGGUCUUUGAUCCACUUUUAGUUGAAUUUUGUGCAGGGUGAGAGAUAAGAGUUAAAUUUCAUUUUGCUACCUAUGGAUUUCAAGUUCUCCUAGCACUAUUUGUUGAGGAGGCUAUCUUUUCUCAAUGUUUCCCACGUCUUUGUCUAGUAGGAGAUAACUGUAUUUAUGCAGAUUUGUCUUGUGUCUUCUAGUCUAUGCCAUUGAUCUUCAUGUCUGUUUUGGUGCCAACACCAUGCUGUUUGUGUUACUAUAUCUCUGUGGUAUAAUUUAAGGUCUGGUAUUGUGAUGCCUCCUGAUUCACUCUUCUUGCUAAGGAUUGCUUUGGCUAUUCUGGGCCUCUUAUUUUUCAUGAAAUGAAUUUCAUGACUGCCUUUUCUAUUUCUAUGAUGAAUGUCAUUGGAAAUUUAAUAGGAAUUGCAUUAAAUCUGUAUAGCGCUUUUGGUAACAUGGCCAUAUUUUAUUGAAUUAUUUAUUUAUUUAAUUUGUUAUAUAUGAUGGCAGAAUGCAAUUCAUUUCAUAUUACACAUAUAGACCACAAGUUUUCAAGUCACUGGUUGUACACAAAGUAUUUUCACACCAUUUGUAUCUUCAUUUACUUUGGAUAAUAAUGUCUACCUCAUUCCACCCAUCUUUUCUACCCCCAUGUAUCCUUCAUUCCCCUUCCUCCUCUUUGGCCUAUCUAAAGUUCCUCCAUUCCUCCCAUGCUUCCUCCCCAUCACCAUUAUGAGUCUGCAUCCUCACCAAAGAAAACAUUUGGCCUUUGGUUUUUUGGGAUUGGCUUGCUUCACUUAUCAUUAUAUUCUCUAACUCCAUCCAUUUACCUGCAAAUGCCAUGAUUUCAUACUCUUUAAUGCUGAGUAACAUUCCAUUGUGUAUAUAUACCAAAGUUUCCUAUCCAUUCAUCUACUGAAGGGCAUCUGAGUUGGUUCCACAGUUUAGCUAUUGUGAAUUGUGCUGCUAUAAUUGUAACUGUGUCCCUGUAGUAUGCUGUUUUUAAAUCCUUUGGGUAUAAACUGAGAAGUGGAAUAGCUGGGUCGAAUGGUGUUUUCAUUCCAAGUUUUCCAUGGAAUCUCCAUACUGCUUUCCAGAUUGGCUACACCAAAUUUGCAGUCCCACCAGCAGUGUAUGAAUGUGCCUUUUCCCCCACAUCCUCACCAACACUUAUUGUUUGUAUUCUUGAGAGCUGCCAUUCAGACAGGGGUGAGAUGAAAUGUUAGAGUAAUUUUGAUUUGCAUUUUUCCAAUUGCUAGAGAUGUUGAAAAUUUUUUCGUAUAUUUGUUGAUUGUAUAUCCUCUUCUGAGAAGUGUCUGUUCGUUUCCUUGGCCCAUUUAUUGACUGGGUUAUUUGUUUUUUUUUGUGUGUUAAGGUUUUUGAGUGCUUUAAUAUCCUAGAGAUUAGUGCUCUAUCUGAUGUGUUUGUGGUAAAGAUUUGCUCCCAUUCUGUAGGUUCCAAGAGUUUGUAUUUUUAAAAAUGCUAAAUGAUUAAGAAGCAUCUCAACAUAUUUGAUAAGAGAAUUAAGGUUGAGUAGUACUAACAUUUUCUUUUUCUCGUAUCGUCUAAUGUGUGUAUAUAUACACACACAUAUAUAUAUAUAUAUAUAUAUAUAUAUAUAUAUAUAUAUAUAUAUGAAUUCUACAAAGAUAUUGCUGAAUUGCAGUAUUAUUUUUAGAGAACUGUUUCAAAUAAAAGUUACAAUAGUUACAAAGUAAAAUUAAGAGUUUCUCCAUAGACAUUGGUGCCAGAACUCACAGUGAAUGAAAAACAUAACAUUUAAGUGACUUUGAGGGUUGGGGUUUGGGCAAGUGUACAAAAUUUCCUUAGAAAGAGUGAAACUCUCUAAAACUUCUAGAAAUAACAGUGAACUGCUCAAAAAUUGUCCCUAAAUAUUGAAAUUUCUUUGUUUAUAUGCAUCUGUUGAGGAAUCAUUACUGUAGUACUAAUACCAUUAUAAACAUUUGAAAUCAAAUAUUUAAAGGCUAAAUUACUGGGUGUUCUGACAUGCACUGGCAAUCCCAGCUACUCAUGAGGAUGGGCCAGGAGGAUCACUUGAGUCCAGGUAGUUAAGAAUCCUGCCUGAGCAAUAUAGCAAGAUCACAUUUUAAAACAAAACAAAUGUAUUAAAGAUUAAGGUUUAUUGAUGUCAAAUUCCUGUAUAAAAUAAUUUUCAUUUACACUUUUGAUAGGUUCAUUGUGCUUCCAAGUCUAGAUAUGAGUUUCAAUUGUUUGAUCUAGUUAAGAUAAAGAGGAGAUAGAGAACCUAAGUUGAUGAAACAGGCUGGAGACUGCAGUGCCACCUUAGAAGCUCAAGUAGGGCGUUUGAUGUCAAUCAAAUGACAGGUCAGCCAGGCAGCUAUUCAGAGUCACGGAGUCAUGGCUGAGGAAGAGCAAGGUUCAAGUUAGUCAUACUGAUCUCAUAAACUUAAGUGGCUCAGGCUAGAAGCUAUAUUUACCUCACACUAUUAGUUGAUUUGAAUGUUCAUUCAUCCAUUCAGUUGCUGUCUAUUGAGCACCUCCUGUACCAAGUAACAGACAACAUAAACACCAUUUGCUCUGGCUUCUAGGGAGGACAGCUAACCCUUGACACACCUACCUACUGUUUUCCAGGCAUUGUGCUAAGCUCUUCUUCAUGGACUCUAUGAGAACUUAGUAGUUACUAUCUAGAUUUCCCAGAUAAAGAAACUGAAUCUUGGGAGGUCUGCCGUCAAAUUGGAAGAGAAUGUCAUAGGGCCACUUGGUUCAUCCUCUAAAGUGAAACUUUCUUGUCAAAAGCCAUUGCCAGUUGUGGUAGACAGUUUCUCAGUACCUAAAAAUAUACCUUCUCUUCUUUCACUUUCAGUUUCUGUGCUGGGAACACGAGCCCCAUCUUUUGGCCAGAUGUGAAAUUUCAUAAAGAAGAAAGACUCCGGAACAGGACAAACUAAUCAAGGAUUAUCUUAUUCUCCUCUGUAUAAAAUGUUUUUCUCCUCUAGGAAUUUUUAAGACCAAGGGAAGGGGCUCAGUUUGGCAGCAACUCUGUAGCUCAGUAUUUAUUUUAUUCUUAUGGGGAAGAAAGAUAGAAAAUUAUGGAUAGAUAAUUAAUUUUAUUAUAUUAGUACUUAAAAUACAUGUUCAGGUUUGCAUUUUAAAAGUUCCUCCUUAAUGGUGUAAUGUUUAUUUCAUCAACAUAUCAUUUUAAAAUUUAAAAUCUUGGAACAGUUAACAAAGAAAGAGAAAAGUUGUCCUUUGCCCAAAAAUAAAGUCUCAGAUUUACAAACUCUGAACAGACCUAGUAAUAUUUAACAACCACUAUGGGGAAUCUUUACAAAUAAAAAUUGACAUAUAUGCUCUUUGGGAGAAUUUCUCCUUUCAAGCUUUCACAAAGACAUGCAAGGAAUUAUAAAUACAUACAUAAGCAAAAUAAGACUAGGCAACAAUUUUUAUAAUGUGUGUAGGCACUAAUUAUAGUGUUUCCUUUUAUGAAAGCAAAAGUAGUAAAACAUCUCUUAUAGUUUGAGACUAUAGAAGUAGAGAGCUACAUUCUAGCAAUAGAAAACUUGUGGGCUGAGAUUGCCUUCCCCAGGUAUGAAUGGGGGUUAUUAAUUGCCCUCAACUGGCAUCAGUCCCAGGAUUCUGUCCUUUUCUAUUUAACCAUCUUAUCAUGGAACAGAAUUAACUCAGCUCUACAGGGCUUACAAGAUCAAAGGACGCCAUUUUAAAGAGUAACAUUUACUAAAAAUUUAGAUCUAUAUAUUUAACAAGCAAACCUUUUGAUAUAUCUAAAAUUAAACCUUUAAUUUUUUCUCUCUCACAGUUCCUUUAAAUUAUUCUUGGUGGGGAUGGGGUGGGAUUGAUUGGUGGAAAUUUUCUCUUCCUGG